UAAAUUCCCUUAUCACUCUAUUGGAAUUUGACAUUAAUGACCUGCCUGUUAUUUCAGAAGGAGAUGGACUGUAACCGGCAGGACAGAAAGCAUUCUUGUGCCUGUGUUUCAAAGAGGCCCGAAGACUGCAAGCCAGAGCCACCAAAAUGCAACAUAAGGCAAGCGAAGAUCAAGGCAAGCAACCCCGUGACACCAGCAUUGGAUGUCUGGGGAGUGGGCUGCUCUCAGCAACAUGAAUUUCACUUCCCUCCAUGUUUUCUGGAGAGUGAACUCAGCAGUGAUCCAGGGGGUGAGAGUUUGCUCUGAAAAGAAGAAAAAAAAAAAAGAAAAAAGGGAUCAUGUUGCCACACUCGGAGUUCAUGAAUGGCCGUUAGCUCUCCAAUGAUCUUACAACAAAGAACCACUUCAAGCCUGCAGAAGUCUGCUGUUUUCCAAGUGUUAGGAGCUGACAGUGCUUGAAUUUGCAGAAAUAGCUAGAAUUUGAAAAGAUCUUGGCUGUUUGUUAAUGAAACUCUUCUGGGCAAGAAGCUGAGUCUGAAUUCAUGUGGGGAGAUGGGAGGAUCUGAACCCUUUGCUGCAAGGGCAAGGAAAGGUGCUCUCAACUAGCUGUUUCUGUGUUAGAGAAAAGCUUUGUUUCUGCUCUUUGCUCUCUAUGCGUAAUUGGGCUAGGUGGAUGGUAUACAACAAAUACCUCUGUCCUAUGUAUUUUCAGAAGGGAUCAGUGUUUUGGAGGGCUUUAUUGGCUCAACAUUUUGGGAGUUACCAUGUUCUAAUGGCCUGCAGUGAAGCCAGAUAAUUUCUUUAUCACUUCAUCAAAUAGUGUGUGUGUGUAUAUACAUAUAUAUAUAUAUAUAUGUGUGUGUGUGUCUUCGGGCUGUCCUCCAGGAUGGUUUUGCAGCUUUUAUUUUUAUAAUGGAAAAUUGGCUUUAUGUUCAGGUGCUGAGCCAGUUUGGGGAAAAAUAAUGGAAAGGGUCAGUUUUCCUGUUCUGGGAGAGUGUUGCAUUCCAGUGCCCGUUCAGAAUGAAAAACUGAAACUGCAAAGGCUGUUGAAAGGCGAAAAUACUUUUGAUUAUGCCCAUUGAAAUGCUUCAGGUUCACUCAGCAUUUGUUUAAAAAGAAAAAGCUUUUCCUACUGUGUUCUGUUAUUUUAACAUUUGUUACUAGAAGGUCUAGAAGGUGCUUUUUUUGUUUUUUGGUUUUUUUUCCCAGAAGCUUCUCUCUUACAGACAUCCCCUCAUGGACCACAGGUAUGGGAYUGGCUGUAGGGGAAUUAACCCUACUGAGAUGCAUCCUAUGGACCUGGCAG
rnacentral:lncRNA from 1 species